AAGGAACGCUGGCAGCGUGCAUAACACAUGCAAGUCGAACGCGAAAGAAUCCUUCGGGAUUUGGACGAGUGGCGAACGGGUGAGGAACACGUAAGAAUCUACCUUUCGGUUGGGGAUAACUUCUGGAAACGGGAGCUAAUACCCAAUAUGCUGUGGAGUGAAAGAAUUUCGCCGAGAGACGAUCUUGCGUCUGAUUAGCUUGUUGGGGUGGUAAUGGCACACCAAGGCGACGAUCAGUAGCUGGUCUGAGAGGAUGGACAGCCACAUUGGGACUGAGACACGGCCCAGACUCCUACGGGAGGCAGCAGUGGGGAAUUUUCCGCAAUGGACGAAAGUCUGACGGAGCGACGCUGCGUGAAGGAUGAAGGCCCGUGGGUUGUAAACUUCUUUUCUCGAAGAAGAAAAAAAUGACGGUAUUCGAGGAAUAAGCAUCGGCUAACUCUGUGCCAGCACCCGCGGUAAGACAGAGGAUGCAAGUGUUAUUCGGAAUGAUUGGGCGUAAAGAGUCUGUAGGCGGUUUAGAAAGUCUUUUGUGAAAUACUUCAGCUCAACUGAGGCUCCGCAAAAGAAACUUCUAGACUUGAGGAAAGUAGAGGUACAGGGAAUUUCCGGUGGAGCGGUGAAAUGCGUAGAUAUCGGAAGGAACACCCCAUAUGGCGAAGGCACCUGUACUGGGCUU
rnacentral:rRNA from 1 species